rnacentral:rRNA from 1 species
GAUGAACGCUGGCGGCGUGCCUAAUACAUGCAAGUCGAGCGAACAGACGAGGAGCUUGCUCCUCUGACGUUAGCGGCGGACGGGUGAGUAACACGUGGAUAACCUACCUAUAAGACUGGGAUAACUUCGGGAAACCGGAGCUAAUACCGGAUAACAUGUUGAACCGCAUGGUUCAACAGUGAAAGACGGUCUUGCUGUCACUUAUAGAUGGAUCCGCGCCGCAUUAGCUAGUUGGUAAGGUAACGGCUUACCAAGGCAACGAUGCGUAGCCGACCUGAGAGGGUGAUCGGCCACACUGGAACUGAGACACGGUCCAGACUCCUACGGGAGGCAGCAGUAGGGAAUCUUCCGCAAUGGGCGAAAGCCUGACGGAGCAACGCCGCGUGAGUGAAGAAGGUCUUCGGAUCGUAAAACUCUGUUAUCAGGGAAGAACAAAUGUGUAAGUACCUAUGCACGUCUUGACGGUACCUAAUCAGAAAGCCACGGCUAACUACGUG